CUCUGGGACAGCAGCAUGGGGCAGGACUAAGGUUGUUAGGUGUGAGAAUGGAGGUCUGGACAGACACCAGGCUGCUCAUUGCCACCAGAAGCUUGGCUUUUCCCUGAUCUCUCCUAUCUGUGCCCCUCUGGGCUCUCGUAAGAUCUGCCAUGGUCCCCUUGCUCACAGAGUCCCCUGAAGAGCUGCCUGUCCUAAUACAGACCUAGGCUGGAGUGCAGAGCAGCCUCAAGGAACAUCUCCUAGAGACAGCUGGACAGCUACAGACGACAGCGCAGGGUCUUGCCUUGACUUCCACCUGCUCCCUCAUCCUUGGCACCCCCCUCAAGGCUGAGCUGACAUCACUCAGCCUUCAUACAGAACGAGAGAGGAGGCAGCCAUGAGUUUCCUGCACCCUGGAGCCCCUCAGCUGUCACUAACUUUUUUGCUCACCCCAUCUUCCCC